UUCAUCCGCCCGUCUUGAAACACGGACCAAGGAGUCUAACAAGUGUGCGAGUCAUAUACCCUCACGGUACGUGGCGCACUGAAAGGGAAGUCGUCCUCGACGACGUCGUAUGACUCCCUCCGGGGAGGCAAUACGGGCCGAGCGCGGGCGAAGGGCCUGCGCUUUGCGCCUGAGCAUAUAUGUUGGGACCCGAAAGGUGGUGACCUAUGCCUGAACAGGAUGAAGCCGAGGGAAACCUUGGUGGAGGUCCGCAGCGAUGUUGACGUGCAAAUCACUCGUUUGAUUUGGGUAUAGGGGCGAAAGACUCAUCGAACCACCUAGUAGCUGGUUCACCCCGAAGUUUCCCUCAGGAUAGCUGGUGACAGGGCAAGUCGCGUGCGGUAAAGCAAAUGAUUAGAGGAAUUGGCGGGCACAGUCCCGUUGACCUAUUCUCAAACUUUCAACGUGCGUCAAGCCCCGGCGUGCUUCAGUGACGCCGGGGCGCGAUUGUGUCACUUAGUGGGCCAUUUUCGGUAAGCGGAACUGGCGAUGCGCGAUGCUGCGCAAGCGAACGUAAGGUGCCCAAGUGUAGAUUCAUAGACACCACGAAGGGUGUUCGUUGAUAUAGACAGCAGGACGGUGGCCAUGGAAGUCGGAACCCGCUAAGGAGUGUGUAACAACUC
rnacentral:rRNA from 1 species